AUUGAACGCUGGCGGCAGGCCUAACACAUGCAAGUCGAGCGGAUGAAGGGAGCUUGCUCCUGGAUUCAGCGGCGGACGGGUGAGUAAUGCCUAGGAAUCUGCCUGGUAGUGGGGGAUAACGUCCGGAAACGGGCGCUAAUACCGCAUACGUCCUGAGGGAGAAAGUGGGGGAUCUUCGGACCUCACGCUACCAGAUGAGCCUAGGUCGGAUUAGCUAGUUGGUGGGGUAAAGGCCUACCAAGGCGACGAUCCGUAACUGGUCUGAGAGGAUGAUCAGUCACACUGGAACUGAGACACGGUCCAGACUCCUACGGGAGGCAGCAGUGGGGAAUAUUGGACAAAGGGCGAAAGCCUGAUCCAGCCAUGCCGCGUGUGUGAAGAAGGUCUUCGGAUUGUAAAGCACUUUAAGUUGGGAGGAAGGGCAGUAAGUUAAUACCUUGCUGUUAUGACGUUACCAACAGAAUAAGCACCGGCUAACUUCGUG
rnacentral:rRNA from 1 species